rnacentral:rRNA from 1 species
GACGAACGCUGGCGGCGUGCUUAACACAUGCAAGUCGAACGGAAAGGCCCUGCUUUUGUGGGGUUCUCGUGUGGCGAACGGGUGAGUAACACGUGAGUAACCUGCCCUUGACUUUGGGAUAACUUCAGGAAACUGGGGCUCAUACCGGAUAGGAGCUCCUGCUGCAUGGUGGGGGUUGGAAAGUUUCGGCGGUUGGGGAUGGACUCGCGGCUUAUCAGCUUGUUGGUGGGGUAGUGGCUUACCAAGGCUUUGACGGGUAGCCGGCCUGAGAGGGUGACCGGCCACAUUGGGACUGAGAUACGGCCCAGACGGCUACGGGAGGCAGCAGUGGGGAAUAUUGCACAAUGGGCGGAAGCCUGAGGCAGCAACGCCGCGUGCGGGAUGACGGCCUUCGGGUUGUAAACCGCUUUCGCCUGUAACGAAGCGUGAGUGACGGUAAUGGGUAAAGAAGCACCGGCUAACUACGUG